UCCCCGGUGGUCCAGUGCUCAGGACUCAGCACUUUCACUGCUGUGGCCCCCAUUUCAAUCCCUGGUUGGGGAA
rnacentral:tRNA from 1 species